UGCCCUGUCGUCCAAUGGUAAGACGCAAGUCUCUGGAUCUUGUUAUUCUGGUUCGAAUCCAGACGGGGCAG
rnacentral:tRNA from 1 species